CGCAACCUGAUGCAGAGGCAGAUGGAGGAUUUGAUAUUAUGAAAAGCAUCUACUUUAUUGAGAAUGGAGGUUUAACUACUUGGGUGUCCAUUCAGAAGACAAUUAAGUCCCUAAAAGGUAUUUAUUUCUAGAGGGAAGGAGAAGGUGGGAAGGAGGGAAGGAAAGGGAAAAGGAGGGGGCAGACAGAAGAAACAAAAGGAAAGGAGGAAGAAAGUGAGGGAAGGAGGAGGAGAGGGAGGGAGGGAGUGAGGGAGGGAGAGAGGGAGGGAGGGAGGGAGGGAGGGAGGGAGGGAGAGGGAAGGAGAGGGAGGGAGAGGGAGGGAGAGGGAAGGAGAGGAAGAAAGGGAGGAAGGGGAAGGGCUAUACUCUGACUAAAUAGCCUAGAUAUGUCUAAUAUAAAUAUGAUGUGACCCACCUGUACAAUUUCAAAGCUUCUAUUAUUCAUAAUAAAAAGUUAAAGAAGAGAACAAAUAAAGAGGAACCAAACAGUUGGCUAAUUUAAGCUGGUGUAGCCUAGUUUCACUUACUAUAUUUGAGAUGAAGCUAUGUACUACGUGACCAACAUGAAAACCGGAGCUACGGCAUGCUCUCCCCUUCGCUGCUGGAACCGCCAUAGUCCUGUCUGCUGUGGGCGUUUGGAGCGAGCAUAUCCCAGGUCGAGCUGACUUCAGUUUAAGGCCACCAUAUUAUGAACCACACGACUAAGUUUCUGCUAAGCCACAUACUUAAAGUUCCUAAAUGAAAGGACACUGGGGACCCCCAAGUGACUUCUCAUACACAGUUUCCUUCACCCAUUUUACUGCCUCUGGAGAGUGAGUAGCCUUUGUCACCUGGGCAACCCUACUCUCCUGUCCAUGCAUGGCAGCUCUGCU
rnacentral:lncRNA from 1 species